rnacentral:rRNA from 1 species
CGGGGUGCAGCAGGCGCGAAAACUUUACAAUGCCGGCAACGGCGAUAAGGGAACCUCGAGUGCCAGGUUACAAAUCUGGCUGUCGUGAUGCCUAAAAAGCAUUGCAUAGCAAGGGCCGGGCAAGACCGGUGCCAGCCGCCGCGGUAACACCGGCGGCUCGAGUGGUAACCGUUAUUAUUGGGUCUAAAGGGUCUGUAGCCGGCCGGGUAAGUCUCUUGGGAAAUCUGGCAGCUUAACUGUCAGGCUUUCAGGAGAUACUGCCUGGCUCGAGGCCGGGAGAGGUGAGAGGUACUUCAGGGGUAGGGGUGAAAUCUUGUAAUCCUUGAAGGACCACCAGUGGCGAAGGCGUCUCACCAGAACGGACCUGACGGCAAGGGACGAAAGCUAGGGGCACGAACCGGAUUAGAUACCCGGGUAGUCCUAGCCGUAAACGAUACUCGCUAGGUGUCGGCCACGGUGCGACCGUGGUCGGUGCCGUAGGGAAGCCGUGAAGCGAGCCACCUGGGAAGUACGGCCGCAAGGCUGAAACUUAAAGGAAUUGGCGGGGGAGCACAAGGGCGAAUCG